rnacentral:rRNA from 1 species
GAUGAACGCUGGCGGCGUGCCUAAUACAUGCAAGUCGAGCGAACGGACGAGAAGCUUGCUUCUCUGAUGUUAGCGGCGGACGGGUGAGUAACACGUGGAUAACCUACCUAUAAGACUGGGAUAACUUCGGGAAACCGGAGCUAAUACCGGAUAAUAUUUUGAACCGCAUGGUUCAAAAGUGAAAGACGGUCUUGCCGCCACUUAUAGAUGGAUCCGCGCUGCAUUAGCUAGUUGGUAAGGUAACGGCUUACCAAGGCAACGAUGCAUAGCCGACCUGAGAGGGUGAUCGGCCACACUGGAACUGAGACACGGUCCAGACUCCUACGGGAGGCAGCAGUAGGGAAUCUUCCGCAAUGGGCGAAAGCCUGACGGAGCAACGCCGCGUGAGUGAUGAAGGUCUUCGGAUCGUAAAACUCUGUUAUUAGGGAAGAACAUAUGUGUAAGUAACUGUGCACAUCUUGACGGUACCUAAUCAGAAAGCCACGGCUAACUACGUG